rnacentral:tRNA from 1 species
GCCUCCGUGGCGCAAUCGGCUAGCGCGUUCGGCUGUUAACCGAAAGAUUAGUGUUUCGAGCUCCCCGGGGGCU